CGUGUAGGCGGUGUCGUGUGUCUGACGUGAAAGCCCCGGGCUCACCCCGGGAAGUGCGUUGGAAACUGCGAGACUAGAGUCCCGGAGAGGAAGGUGGAAUUCCAGGUGUAGCGGUGAAAUGCGUAGAUAUCUGGAAGAACACCGGCGGCGAAGGCGGCCUUCUGGACGGUGACUGACGCUGAGACGCGAAAGCGUGGGGAGCAAACA
rnacentral:rRNA from 1 species